GCAUAGUAAAAAAGUGUCUAACUGUUUCAAAAACUUAAUUUGGCCGUUCCAACUGGUAUACAUGGAUAGGUCGAAAAGAGAGAAACUUUUUAAAUUGUCAGGGGUGAAGGAAAAGGCAAGGAAAAAUCCCAAAUAUUUUUAGAUGUUCGGUUUUAGGGUUUCUAUGACUUGGGGUUUGUAAGACGUUUAUAUACGUAGUCUGUAUUUCUGUCCAGGGUUAGGGUUUCAGUUUACUUUUUUUCUUUCCCCUUGAUGACAUUCUGCUGAUAUUUUUCUUAUCGCAGCUUAAGAAAUGGUGAAAUUAUCAGGUGCUGCAAAUGUGUUUCAUAAAGUUCGAUGGAAAAUUGUUCCAGAUUUUUGACGAGAAUGGACGGAAUUGGAAAGAUCGGUCCCAUUUUGUCGUUGUGUUCAUCCGACAAUGACAUUUACAUACACAUCAGGCGACAAGCAGAACCACAAAGACACUGCGUUAUUUCAGGGCCUCCCCGAUAUUGUUAUUGGGGAUAUUAUCGAAAGGACAACUCCCAGACAGGCAGGGGAGUGGGACGUUCGCAUGGGAAGAUAUUAUAUCGAGGAUUAUAUGUACAUCGUUUACAUAGAUGAGGUUCACUGGUUCACUCGAAUCACAAUUUGGGGGACAAUCAGUUUGUAUAGGCAACUAUGACCACUAUAUUUUGCCCAUACGUAUUGGCCAACAACUCUCCCUCGGUUUCACAUCAUGUGUGCUGUGAGACCCCAUUGGAGACAUGGAUGGGCUUUGGUGCCAUGCUUUGAUGACAGUAUCGCCGAUGUCACGACCUUCUUUCCAUGGAACUUCGUUAUUUUGGACUACACCCACUUUUUCAUUGUUGUUUAUGAUAGUCCUCGGCCAACAUUGAGGUUUGACAGGAUACAAAUUAGAUUCCCAAUGCAGAGGAGGUCCUCAUUAAAAUUGUAUAACUGUUCCUUUAUGAUUGACGAUUAUAUGUACAUCGUUUACAUAGAUGUAUGUACACCGUUUACAUAGAUGAGGUGCGUUUGUUCACCUAAAUCACGAUUCGGGGGACGGUCAGUUUGUAUAGGCGACUAUGGCCACUAUAUUUCUCCCUUACGUACUGGUCAGUGACUCCCUCGAUUUCACAUCAUGUGUGCUGUGAGACCCCAUUGGAGACGCGGACAGGCCUUGGUGCCAUGCCCCAAUGACAGUAACAUCGAUGUCACGACCUUCUUUCCAUGGAACCACGUUAAUUUGGAUUACACCCCCUUUUUCAUUAGUUAUGAUAGUCCUCGGUCAACAUCGAGGUUUGUCAGGAUACAGUGUAGAUUCCCAACGUAGAGGAGGUCCUUUCAUUAAAAUUGUAUAAUUGUUCCUCUAUGACUAUGUUCUUUUUAUAAAACGGUUCAUUUCUAUGGUUACAUAGACGAUCAUCAUACGUCGUUUGUCUCGAUUAUGUUUACAAUUUAUAUGUUUGUCGCGAUUAUGUUUACAAUUUAUAUGCUUGUCUCCAUACACUUUAUAUUUCUACAAACCAACACACUUUAUAUGUUAAUUUACUUUUUGUGAAACCUUAAUACGAUUUAUACGAUAUAAUUAAAAUUUUAAAAUACUGCAUUACAAACAUGCUUUACCUAUCAUUGUCACGCGAGUAGGUUAAGCCAAAGGGCUUAUUUAUUAUUAAUGAGGGUCCCCAAGAUGUGUUUACGUUGGUGAGAUUAUUAAAUUUAUAUGUAACUAAAGAAUAGUCCAAGGACAACAAUUUGAAACUAUAUGCCUAAUUUAUUGAAUUAGGAAAACAAGUUUCAGUUUUAUUUGAAUACUUCAAUUCCAUCAAAAAGUCUAAAAAUAAAAUGUGAGAGCAUGUGGGAAGUAUGGCUGCAUUACCGCUGGCCAUAUCUUUACAUAGAUUUUAAUAAUAGCUAUAUUUUUAGAAGGGGAGAACUAUUAAAUAUUAAGAUCAGAGUGUAAAUAAAACAUUUAAGCGAUGAAAAAUAAAUGACUUGUAAUUACGAUACAAAAUUUUGUCUAUAGACUAAAGUUUAGAGAUUUUUCAUAAUUAAUAAAAAUAAAAUUUGAACUACAAUAGCUAAAUUUUCUUUAGUAAUAGGGCUACAAAACUUUAGAAAGUAGAUAAUUAGAAAUAAAAAUAAAAUUUGAAUUACAAUAGCCAAAUUUUCUUUAGUAAUAGGGCUACAAAACUUUAGAAAUAGAGAAUUAAAAAUAUUAGAAUUAUAAACUUCGUCUGCACUCUUAAUCUCUCCUUUUUUCAAUACAAUUGUUAUACUACUUGAAAUGUUGUUUAAUUAAAAUUAGGUUUCUAUUGUAUUAAAAUUUGUAGAAAUUAAUAAUUAUAAAUGUAUUUUUAAAAUUUACAAUUUACUUUAUUUGAAAUGGACAAGCUAAAUUUUCAAAUCAAUGGUUGAGGGUUGAAGAUAUCCAAUGCAAGAUGAUUGGAUAGAUCUAGGUCGUCUUUUUCUCGCUCAUGAUUUUCCACUCGUCGUGCCUUUUCACUCUUGUUUGAGAUUCAAUCUUUUGUGUCGUUUACAAUGAAAGCAUCGUUUGAAUACGCCAACUUUUACAGUCUCAUAGUCGUAAUAGCAUUUGUCACAGGAUUGCAACACAAUAUAUACACCUCCAAUUGGAAUGUAGUACAAAACAUAAUUUUGUGAACUGUGAAAUAUGACAAUGCCUUAAAGCUCGUGUUGUUCAUGGAAUUCGUGCCAUGUCUCGCUGUAAAUGUGUAACAACACGUGGCAAUUGUUUUGUGAAGCUCUGGAUUCAAAGUGUAUAAUUAUAAAUCUGUUUUGAGAACGGUUGGAAUUUGGCGAUUGUUCUGUGAAGCUUUGGAUUCAAAGCGUGUAAUUUUGUCGAGAGGCAUCUACAAUGACAUACCGUAAACAAAAAAUGGAUUUGAAUAAAUUUGAAGUGUAGAUGACAAGCAAAUGCAUGCAUGUUUUAGUUUCUCUAUAAGUAGUAUUUUUAUUACUCUAAAUAAAAUUGAAUAAGAUGCAUUUUUUCGAUAAAAUAGAGUAUGCUUUUUUUUUUAUUUCGGCCAAAAGCGUUCCUUCAGACUAUGCUCUCCUAAUAUACUAGCAAACCCGUGUUGUCUACACAAAUUACUGUGUGGAAAAGCGUCGUUGUGUUUACUGUGUUUUGAAUUUACAUUGUAUAUCUUGGCAUUUAUCACUACUUCAACUUAUUUUACUCCCUUUUGACUGGGUUCAUCUUUACUCUCGUUAAUUUGGGUUAUAUGUUGCUUGGCUUAUAUUUUUUUAUAAAUUUUUUAGCAAUGUUUCCUAAUACCUUUUGUUUCAAUAUGAUUUCUAAAUAUCUAUAAUUAUUAGCGGUAUAGUUAUAAGCUAUAAAUCUUUGCCUACCAGAUGGUACAAUGGAAUUUUUGCAUAAAGUUGUAAUUGAUCUUUUGUGAAAUACAAGUAUAUAGAGGCUUAUGCCUUUUAUUUAAAAAUAAUAAUAAUAAUAUAUAACAUUAAAACAAUAAAAUUAUAUAAUUUAAAUGAGCUCAACAUAUGCACCCCAUAAUUCAUAGUCAAAAAACUAAUGCCAAAAUAAAACCUAGUCGGAAAUACCUCAAUGGUCAUACAAGCAUCUCUAUAAUAGCAUCUAGAAUACACUAUCAAAACACCUUGAUGACAUAAUAAAUCUCAUAAUUUUUUAGUUGAAUGGAUUGCAUCACAUGAAGCAUAUAAUAAUGUGUGGGGGAAAAAGCGAGACUAGGUUAUCAUGCCCUAACCCUACCUUUUGUCACACAUUACGGAAUACGAAAGAGCCUAGAGGUAUCACACAAUUGGCUACUUCUUUUUGUGAAAGAGAGAGCCACGGGCUACCUAUUAGGGUUUCUAUUCCUUUGUUGUAAUUGAAAGGUAAGAUUAUGCAAGUCCAAUUCCUAACCCUAAAAUGUAAAUAUGAACUAACAACAAGAUUGCAGAAUUGAACUUAGACAAUGGAAAGCUGUAAAUACAAGGAUGAAAUAAGAAUGCAGAUGUGUAUCCGGAGUCAAAAUCGGACUGAAAAUGUGCGGGACGGGGGCGCGGGCGCCACUGCCCUGAAAACUGCACCGGAAACUGUUGUUCUGCACUUUGAAACAAUGUCGGAAAGCUGUCUGUCCGGAGGACCAGGGCACCCAGCGCCUCUGUCCCAGGGACCAGGGACCAGGGCGCCCAGCGCCCCUGUCCCAGUCUUCUGCUCUGCAAUUUGAUACAGAGUGCUGUCUCGACCUGUUCUCUUCGGAUCUGUAUCCUGCGGUGUCGUCCGAGUCCUGAACCUGCACUUAUAUCUGAAAAAUGGGAUGGGCGGCUAUAUAGGGUUUUGCCUUAGUCAAACCCCCGCUUCGGUGAUUUCCACCUCCACGAAUAGCCAAGUUGUUUUGUAAAAUGUAUUGUGUGUGCAGACCUAGUGUGUGUGCAAGGUCCCUGACAGGGCGCCAUGGUCCCAAUCAGGGCUUGGCAUACGAUGUUCGACAGUUUGCAUGAGCGAUUUUGAUGAUCGAGUACUGAUUACGGUUAUGCUUUUGUG